UGGGGAGUAUUGGACAAUGGGGGCAACCCUGAUCCAGCAAUGCCGCGUGGGUGAUGAAGGCCUUCGGGUUGUAAAGCCCUUUCGGCGGGGACGAUGAUGACGGUACCCGCAGAAGAAGCCCCGGCUAACUUCGUGCCAGCAGCCGCGGUAAUACGAAGGGGGCUAGCGUUGUUCGGAAUGACUGGGCGUAAAGGGCGCGUAGGCGGCGAUUUUAGUCAGGCGUGAAAGCCCUGGGCUCAACCUAGGAACU
rnacentral:rRNA from 1 species